GGUAGCAUAAUCAUUAGUUUUUUAAUUGAAAACUUGUAUGAAUGAUUGGACGAGAUAUAAACUGUCUCUUAAAAAUUUAUARUAAAAUUUAAUUUUUUAGUAAAAAAGCUAAAAUAAAUUUAAAAGACGAGAAGACCCUAUAGAUCUUUAUARUAUUAUUUAUUAUUAUUUUUAUGUUUAUUAUAAAUUAAUAAUUAAUAYUAUUUUAUUGGGGUGAUAUUGAAAUUUAUAAAACUUUCAAAAAAUUUAAAUUCAUUAAUUUAUGAUUAUUUGAUCCUUUAAUAUUGAUUAAAAAUUUAAGUUACCUUAGGGAUAACAGCGUAAUUAUUUUGGAAAGUUCACAUUGAUAAAAUAGAUUGCGACCUCGAUGUUGGAUUAAGAUUAAUUU
rnacentral:rRNA from 1 species